rnacentral:Y_RNA from 1 species
GGUUGGUCCGACGGCAGUGGGAAAUAAACAAAUCGAUUGCUACAGUGAGUUACAGAACCUCUACGUUUCUUCUCCCUCCUCCUCACUGCCGACCUUGACUAACUUUUG